UCCUCGAUAGCUCAGCGGUAGAGCAGCGGACUGUUAAUCCGUUGGUCGUAAGUUCGAAUCUUACUCGGGGAG
rnacentral:tRNA from 1 species